rnacentral:rRNA from 1 species
CGUGAAUGAGACGCUAAGGCGUCGAAGUAGUGUAUAUCAGACUUCCAAGAAAAGCUUGCACUGUCAUAGAUAAAAAAUGCCUGUACCAUAACCGACACAGGUGGGUAGGUAGAGUAUACUAAGGGGCGCGAGAUAACUCUCUCUAAGGAACUCGGCAAAAUAACUCCGUAACUUCGGGAGAAGGAGUGCCUUAUUUAUAAGGUUGCAAUAACAAGAUCCAAGCAACUGUUUAUCAAAAACACAGGUCUCCGCUAAGUCGUAAGACGAUGUAUGGGGGCUGACGCCUGCCCAGUGCCAGAAGGUUAAAGAAGUUGGUUAGCAAUUGCGAAGCUGAUAACUGAAGCCCUGGUGAACGGCGGCCGUAACGAUAACGGUCCUAAGGUAGCGAAAUUCCUUGUCGGGUAAGUUCCGACCCGCACAAAAGGCGUAAUGAUUUGGAUACUGUCUCGAAGAGGGGCUCGGUGAAAUAGACUUGUCUGUGAAGAUGCGGACUACCUGCACCAGGACAGAAAGACCCUAUGAAGCUUUACUGUAACUUGAAAUUGAAAUUGGACUUUAUUCGCGCAGCAUAGGUGGGAGGCGUUGAUUAUAAUCUUGCGGGAUUAUUGGAGCCAUCAGUGAGGUACCACUCUUGUAAUGUUAGAUUUCUAACUUUGAAUCAUUAUCUGGUCAAAGAACAGUUUCAGGCGGGCAGUUUGACUGGGGCGGUCGCCUCCUAAAUGGUAACGGAGGCGUACAAAGGUUUCCUCUGAACGGUUAGAAAUCGUAUCUAGAGUGUAAAGGCAUAAGGAAGCUUGACUGUGAGACCUACAUGUCGAGCAGGGACGAAAGUCGGUCUUAGUGAUCUGACGGUACUGAGUGGAAAGGCCGUCACUCAACGGAUAAAAGUUACUCUAGGGAUAACAGGCUGAUCUCCCCCAAGAGUUCACACCGACGGGGAGGUUUGGCACCUGAUGUCGGCUCAUCGCAUCCUGGGGCGGUAGUACGUCCCAAGGGUUGGGCUGUUCGCCCAUGAAAGCGGUACGCGAGCUGGGUUCAGAACGUCGUGAGACAGUUCGGUCCAUAUCCGGUGUAGGCGUUAGAAUAUUGAGAGGAGCCUUCUUUAGUACGAGAGGACCGAGAAGGACAUACCUCUGGUGUACCAGUUAUCGUGCCAACGGUAAACGCUGGGUAGCUAUGUAUGGAGUGGAUAACCGCUGAAAGCAUCUAAGUGGGAAGCCCACCUCAAGAUAAG